GGUAACGGAGGAUUAGGGUUCGAUUCCGGAGAGGGAGCCUGAGAAACGGCUACCACAUCUAAGGAAGGCAGCAGGCGCGUAAAUUACACAAUCCUGACUCAGGGAGGUAGUGACAAGAAAUAACGGACCGGGGCCUUACGGCUUCGGGAUUGCAAUGAGCCGAAUUUACACCCCUUAGCGAAGAUCGAUUGGAGGGCAAGUCUGGUGCCAGCAGCCGCGGUAAUUCCAGCUCCAAUAGCGUAUAUUAAAGUUGUUGCAGUUAAAAAGCUCGUAGUUGGAUUUCUGGGAGGGUGCCGCCGUCCGGCGUGUCCGUGUGCAGUGGCGCCCUUCCAUCCUUCUGUUAGCGUCUCUUGGCAUUCAUUUGCUGGUGGCGGGCUCAGAUAUUUUACCUUGAGAAAAUUAGAGUGUUUCAGGCAGGCUGGGCCGGAAUACAUUAGCAUGGAAAAAUGGAAUUGGACUACGGUCUCUUUGUUGGUUCGAGGGACUGCAGUAAUGAUUAAUAGGGAUAGUUGGGGGCAUUCGUAUUUAAUUGUCAGAGGUGAGAUUCUUGGAUUUGUUAAAGACGAACUACUGCGAAAGCAUUUGCCAAGGAUGUUUU
rnacentral:rRNA from 1 species